GAGGGCAGAGCUCAGUGGUAGAGCACGUGCUUAGCAUGCACGAGGUCCUGGGUUCAAUCUCCAGUACCUCCA
rnacentral:tRNA from 1 species